AGAAAGGUAACUGUCGUAGAUGGA
rnacentral:siRNA from 1 species